GAUUCCUAGAGACUGGCCGUUAAUAAUUAUAGAUUUGAAGGAUUGCUUCUUUAAUAUUCUUCUAGCGGAGUCUGAUUUUGAGAAAUUUGCUUUUACUAUUCCUGCUAUGAACAACAAGGAACCAACAGCCAGAUAUCGUUGGAAAGUCCUGCCGCAGGGGUAAUGGUAGGAAGUGGUGAAUUAAAACCAGAACGGACAUCUGUAAUAAACCUCACAGAAGCAGAUGAAUUGGAGAUCAAUUAUUAUACGUGUGUCCUUUGCUCUGGCAGAAACAGUCUCUCCCCAUGGCCACCGCUGUCCCAGGCCCUUCAUGACUACUGCCUGGCCACCGCUGAUGUUUGUUCAAGACCCAAGGACUCUUUAGUCAGCAGACGGUGAAUCCUGCCAGGACUGAGUCCAUCUCUUCAGUACGGAGGGGACAAUCACUGGAGGGUUCACUUGGCCAUCUUGCUCCACCUCUCCACCCAGCAAUAAAAUAUUUUUAAAUUAAGGAACCCAGCCAUUUCCUGGGCACAAUUGAAGCAGGAGCUCCAGGAGAUGAAGCAGAUGAUCCUGUAGCACUGGGCCGGGUCCAGAUGCCAAGAAGAAACCAGGUCCAGGAAGCACUGCUCCACAUGGUGGCCUUGAUAGCCAUUGAGAAUAUUCCAAGCCUAGAAAAGAAAACAAAGAGAUUGGUCACUUGUGAACAGGGGGAAGAACCUGGACCAGAUGAGACUAGGGAGGCAAGGAGCCUCCAGCACAAAAUUAGAAAAGGCACCAAAAUUCCAGUUAUCAGAAUGAAUGAAUUUCUAUAGAAUAUUUAAAAUGUAAAAAUUGAAGCAGCAAUUCCAAGACGAAUAAAUAUCAACCAUUUAAAUACAAAGAGA